rnacentral:rRNA from 1 species
AUUGAACGCUGGCGGCAUGCCUUACACAUGCAAGUCGAACGGCAGCACGGGAGCAAUCCUGGUGGCGAGUGGCGAACGGGUGAGUAAUAUAUCGGAACGUGCCCGGUCGUGGGGGUAACUAGCGAAAGCUACGCUAAUACCGCAUACGAUCUACGGAUGAAAGCGGGGGAUCGCAAGACCUCGCGCGAUUGGAGCGGCCGAUAUCAGAUUAGGUAGUUGGUGAGGUAAAGGCUCACCAAGCCGACGAUCUGUAGCUGGUCUGAGAGGACGACCAGCCACACUGGGACUGAGACACGGCCCAGACUCCUACGGGAGGCAGCAGUGGGGAAUUUUGGACAAUGGGCGCAAGCCUGAUCCAGCAAUGCCGCGUGCAGGAUGAAGGCC